GUACCUGUCUAUAAGGAGUCCUGCUUAUCACAAUGGGGCUCCCAAACUUGGCUGUGCAGUGGAAACUCCGGGGGAAUUUUGAAGAACACUGACACCCAUCUUCCACCCCGACACUCUGAUUUAAUUGGGCUGCAGUGAGAACAGAGCAUCAAUUUAAAAAGCUGCCCAGGAUCACAUCUUGGAGAUGAAAAGGUGAAAUCAAAUGUUGUAAACGGUUUUAAGAAUGUGGAUAUAUAGUAGCAAAUUGUUCUCCUUAACGAUUGUUCAAAAAUGUUCUCCUGGGCAGCGUUGUGAUCUUUGCCACCUUCGUGACUUUAUGCAAUGCAUCAUGCUAUUUCAUACCUAAUGAGGGAGUUCCAGGAGAUUCAACCAGGAAAUGCAUGGAUCUCAAAGGAAACAAACACCCAAUAAACUCGGAGUGGCAGACUGACAACUGUGAGACAUGCACUUGCUACGAAACAGAAAUUUCAUGUUGCACCCUUGUUUCUACACCUGUGGGUUAUGACAAAGACAACUGCCAAAGAAUCUUCAAGAAGGAGGACUGCAAGUAUAUCGUGGUGGAGAAGAAGGACCCAAAAAAGACCUGUUCUGUCAGUGAAUGGAUAAUCUAAUGUGCUUCUAGUAGGCACAGGGCUCCCAGGCCAGGCCUCAUUCUCCUCUGG
rnacentral:lncRNA from 1 species